rnacentral:rRNA from 1 species
UACGUAGGUGGCAAGCGUUGUCCGGAUUUAUUGGGCGUAAAGCGCGUGUAGGCGGCUUGGCAAGUCCGCUGUGAAAACUCGAGGCUCAACCUCGAGAUGUCGGUGGAAACUGCCUGGCUAGAGUCCGGAAGAGGAGUGUGGAAUUCCUGGUGUAGCGGUGAAAUGCGCAGAUAUCAGGAAGAACACCUAUGGCGAAGGCAGCACUCUGGACGGUACUGACGGCUGAGACGCGAAAGCGUGGGAGCAAACAGG